GGACACUAGCAGGUGGGGCCCUCAUGUUGGCCCUUUCUUCUCCACCACAACGGCCGCGCGGACACCGCAUGGCCAGGCGUUCCGGUCUUGUUAGGAUCCUCCGUGAUCCUCGCCAAUCUUUGUCCCGGGAUAUAAAAGCAAACCAUCCACAACCUAGAGAACAACUGGUGGGGGAGAGCUCAAGCCUGGGUCACCGGGGGAUUGGGAAAGAACACCGUCAGGGUGGAACUACGAGCAGGGAGCGACUGCCACCACAAACCCAUGCCUUCGUUGUCUGUUGAGCGCGUCAUCCGUGGUCCUCAAGACAAAAACACCUUCGGCAAGAUAAUACAGAGAUAUAUGUGACAUGAUGAUACAAAAGGAAGCCAAAACUAUGACUGAAGAAGCUUCGGCUUAGUAUUAUGACAAAGCCAAAGGUCGUCACCGACUCAAGGGAAAAAGGUUGUUUAAUCCUUGAUCACUCACAUUGUAAGUACAUGUAAAUGAUAGGGACAUAAAUGUAAUUGUGUCUGGGCUGCGUUCCGCGCCUAUAAAUAGAUGAACAGUACCCCAGUACUGUUCACGC
rnacentral:lncRNA from 7 species